UGGAAUGUAGCUCAGCCAGGUAGAGCAACUGGCUUAUACCCAGCGUGACGGGGGUUCAAAUCCUCCCAUUCCAA
rnacentral:tRNA from 1 species